AAACGGACGCUAAUACCGCAUACGUCCUACGGGAGAAAGCAGGGGACCUUCGGGCCUUGCGCUAUCAGAUGAGCCUAGGUCGGAUUAGCUAGUUGGUGAGGUAAUGGCUCACCAAGGCGACGAUCCGUAACUGGUCUGAGAGGAUGAUCAGUCACACUGGAACUGAGACACGGUCCAGACUCCUACGGGAGGCAGCAGUGGGGAAUAUUGGACAAUGGGCGAAAGCCUGAUCCAGCCAUGCCGCGUGUGUGAAGAAGGUCUUCGGAUUGUAAAGCACUUUAAGUUGGGAGGAAGGGCAUUAACCUAAUACGUUGGUGUCUUGACGUUACCGACAGAAUAAGCACCGGCUAACUCUGUGCCAGCAGCCGCGGUAAUACAGAGGGUGCAAGCGUUAAUCGGAAUUACUGGGCGUAAAGCGCGCGUAGGUGGUUCGUUAAGUUGGAUGUGAAAUCCCCGGGCUCAACCUGGGAACUGCAUUCAAAACUGUCGAGCUAGAGUAUGGUAGAGGGUGGUGGAAUUUCCUGUGUAGCGGUGAAAUGCGUAGAUAUAGGAAG
rnacentral:rRNA from 2 species